GAUGAACGCUGGCGGCGUGCCUAAUACAUGCAAGUCGAGCGAACAGACGAGGAGCUUGCUCCUCUGACGUUAUCGGCGGACGGGUGAGUAACACGUGGAUAACCUACCUAUAAGACUGGGAUAACUUCGGGAAACCGGAGCUAAUACCGGAUAAUAUAUUGAACCGCAUGGUUCAAUAGUGAAAGACGGUUUUGCUGUCACUUAUAGAUGGCUCCGCGCCCCAUUAGCUAGUUGGUAAGGUAACUGCUUACCAAGGCAACGAUGCGUAGCCGCCCUGAGAGGGUGAACGGCCACACUGGAACUGAGACACGGUCCAGACUCCUACGGGAGGCCGCAGUAGGGAAUCUUCCGGAAUGGGCGAAAGCCUGACGGAGCAACGCCGCGUGAGUGAUGAAGGUCUUCGGAUCGUAAAACUCUGUUAUUAGGGAAGAACAAAUGUGUAAGUAACUAUGCACGUCUUGACGGUACCUAAUCAGAAAGCCACGGCUAACUACGUG
rnacentral:rRNA from 1 species